UUUGGGAAGGGCAAUGCAAAAUCCCCUACAGGUAUACAGAGAUGCUUUGAGACUUGAGAGAAGGAGGAAGAGGAGGAGGAAGAGGAGGAGGGGGAGGCUGGGGUGAUGGUGUCAAAUCUUGGCCAUCAGCAAUAUUUGGUGUAGCUGGGAUCAGUGAGAGGUAGAUGAGUUUAAAUAGACCACCUGAGUGUAAGAAUCCUGGGCUGUGAUUGGUUUGUGGGUGAUUGGAGAUUCAGAUUUUCGGUUUUCGCUUCUUCUUCGUUUGUUGAAAUUUGGCUACUAUGAACAUGAAAUAUUACUCUAUGCUUAUUCUGAGCACAAUGUCAAUCUGUCAUUGUUUUAAAAUGAUGGUUAUGCUCCUCUCUUGCUCCUCUCCCUGCUUUCCUCUCCCUCUUCCUGCUCCCCUCCCUGCUCUCCUCUCCUCUCCUCCUGCUCCCUCCUCUCCUUCUCCUGCUCCUCUCCCUGCUCUCAGAUUUCUUCUUUCUUUCAUCACUCUGAUAAAAAAAGAGGUUCUGUCUUAAAUCCUGUCCCCUGUCUUUGCUCUGACUUGUCCUCUUCUUAUCAACAACUCUGAACAUUGUUGCUGUAUGGCUUGAAAAGUGUUUCUCUACAGAUAGAGAAAAAAUUGUUUAACAAUUUCUUGUCAGACAGUUAUGCUUCCCGCCCACACAUACACCUGCACCUGCCACUGUCAGCCAUGCCACAUGAUUGAUUGUGGGCUGCAUAUCAUUUUAUUGACUCUUACAGAUUUUACUGAUAAAAAGUGUCGCUUGUUCUUUUUUGCUUUGAGGACUUUGUAAGGCAUGCCUGCUCCCACCAUGACUUGCAAACCUCACCAUCUGGCAGGGACACAUUUCAGCAGCAGCCUGAGAACGUGCCAAAUUACAUUUAGUUUUGAGUAAACUACUUCUCGUGCUGCUACAAGCUGCCGUUUUCUCACUGUUGGGAUAACGCUAAUCACCUGUGAUUACUUAGCAUAAGGUGGGCUGCGUUGUGUUUUAUAACUCAUGUCAGUUUAGUGUGACAUGACCAGACUUUAUAGUGAUUUCUAGGAACAGGAAAAAGGAGUCUACUGUGUGAUCUCAGAGCGUGAUGAAUUAAUGUAGGUUAACAUACAUCCGCUUAAUUCCUCAGUCUGCCAAGAAAUGCUCGAUUAACAAAGCCUUCAAGAUGCCUCAGCUGCCAUUAGACAACACAACAAUAUCCUAUUCAGCCCUGCAACAGCUGCAUCACCUUUCAUUGUCUAUUAAAGAAUGCACACUACAGCACCAAGGUUACAUCAGUCAUGCUGUAUAAACUUUAUCCACCUGCAUUUUGUGCCCGCUCCUUCGCCUCCUUCUGUCUCCCUCUCCCUCCUCUCCUCUCUGCCUCCAUCAGCCAUUGGUAUUCUCAUUUGAAAGGAAGAGAACAGAGCGGGAAAGAAUAAGCAUGGGGAUGCAAGGACGCGUGGCGGAGAGAAUACUAAGCACCAAUGGGUGUUAAACACAAAGCCCCCGCGCAAACGCUGGUGCACACACAAACAUGCACGCUGGCAUGCACACUCAGAGGUGUAUAUAAGCACACAUAACUCGGCAGCACACAAGCACGCACACAUGAACACAAAAGCUCUGGUGGGUAUUAGUGGACCCCUUGGUGCAGGUUGAAUAGAAUGUAUUUGUACCUCAGGCUUAAACAGGGAGGAUUAUGGGGGAUACGAGGGGAAUGCUAAAGCUAGGAGGGAGGCCAACGACCUUGGUAUGGACUAAAAUGGAGGGAGGAGUAAAGGGGCUGGUUUGUUGUUGGCGAGUCAUUCGAAAUUGCUGCAAACAUGAGUGUUGAAAACAAUAAUGGCCUCGUGUGGUUGCUAAUGUGUGUGUGUAUGUGUGGAGAUAACCACAGUGUUGUCGUCAUCAACGAAAUCUGGUUGUGAAGAGUUUCAUCUUCCUAAAAAUGAUGCAACAUGUUUGCAAAUGAUGAGCUCUUGCUCACUUGAGAUUAGCAUUGAUGAUCCGUUUUGUGCCUUUUUUCCACUUAGACUUGAGGGUGUGAGAGUGUAUGUGUGUAUGUGUGUGUGUGUGUGUGUGUGUGUGUGUGUGUGUGUGUGUGUGUGUGUGUGUGUGUGUAUCUAUGCACCACUACUUUCCCAUUUUGCAUGUGUUUCUCUUUGCCCAAUUGCAUGGAAACAGGGGAAUGUAUCAUAUACUAGUUAUGAGAGGCAUGACAGAAUGCAUAAUUUAUUUUCAUUUGGGCUCCUGUAGUCGCUACAGCGUGUGUGUGUGUGUGUGUCUGUGUGCGUGCGCCUGUGUAGCUACCAAUGGGAAUCUGGCUUUUCUUGGUCUAAAUUCUAGUGUGCAUGCAUGUGUGUGUGCGUGUGUGUGUGUGAAAGGAGAGAAAGUUGGCACGUCUGUGUAAUAACCUGGGAUUGGAUGUGUCAGGUCAUUUCUACAAGUGUUAAAAAAAAGCAGCGAGGAGAGACAAGCAAUCUGAUGAGUGUAGCUGCAUCUCAGCUCAUCAGUGGGGGGUGGAGGUGGAAGAGGGCGUUGGAGGAAUCACCAAUGUAGUGGUGGUUAACUCUGACAGAUUGAAAUAAGAUAAAGGAUGGGUGAGGAAAGGAUGGAGAAAGGGGUGGAUGACGGACAGAGUGAGGAUAAAUAUAAGACAAAGCAUGGAGGUGAGAAGGGUAAGAGAUUAUGAAAAAAUUAUAGGAGAACAGAGGAAUGGAGAGAAGUAUCGUAGGAGAGAUUAAUGAAGGUGAAGAGCAGAGUGAAGGACAGCAGUUGAAGAGGGAUGGAAGAAUGUGUGGAGGAACGGUUGAUAAAGGCUCAAGCAGGAGGGAUGAAGAGGUGUUUGGAAGAGACGCAUGCUUGAAGAGGGAGGAUUGAAGGACAACCUUGUGUAAACUGGCAAAAGGCUUCAGUUAAAGAGUGUCUUUAUCUCCAACUCGGCCUCUGUAUCUAAAGCAGCUCUGUGCCUCUUUCAGGAUUAACAUUUCAAUGUAUCCAUCCCUUCUAACAAAACCUGUCUAUAGUAGACCAACAUGACUUACAUCAGGGUCUGAGUGUACCAGCUGGGUGUUAAAGGGAUAUAGAGGGUUAGACACCCCUUCGAGAGAUGAAUUUUGCCUACUGCUUGCUUCUCUAGUUAUACCAACUUUUGUAACGACCGCACGAUAGCAAUACACAGUGGUCGAUGUCUCCAGCGCAAACCUCAACCAAAAAGCCACUCUAUUUUCUGUUGACUGUUACUACAAUAUCGCUAAAGCGUUCUAACACAAAAACAAUAACAACAAAAACGGUAAUAAUAAAAAUAAUAAGUGAGUGCACAGAAUGCAGUGGAAAAUUUAUGAUUAUUACUUAUUGGAAAUGCAAUCAGACCGAGACUCUAAGGCAGAAGAACUUCCGGGUCUGCAAUGCACAGACAAGAUACACAAGAACUCUGAUUGCAUUUGCAUGAAGUAAUAAUAAUAAAUGUUCUUCCUUGAGCUGCGAAACUCCGCUACACUCGGUGAUCUACUGUAUGUCUAAGAAUUUCUCAUAAGAGAUAAAUACAUGAACUCAUAGGGCACUAUUCAGACAGCGAAAAGUACAUGGAGCACACAGCAGCACUUGAUCUAUCAGCACCAUAGGCCUGUAAAAUGUCUCUAUUUAUCACAGGUGUACAUGUACAUGGAUGUCUGUCUGGUGAGUCAUACCACCAAGAUUACAAACAUAAUCUAGAUUACUUCACAUACCAAAGAUCAUAGCCUUUGCCAAUAAAAUCUGGUAUGUGUUUUUGCAGAAGCAGUGAUCAGACUAACCCUUCUUGAUUUUGACAACCAUAAUCCUAGUCAGUCCAUACUUGAGUCAAAGCACACUUCAACAUGAAAUAUGGAAAUAGUCCCCCAAGAUGCCUGAUAUGAUGUUGACAAGACUGAGUUGCAUAAGAAGAGGUAUGGAGGGGCUAAAAAAAAAGUGGUACUUUGGCACUCUGGUGACAGUAUUUAACUUCAGCUUCGCAGCCUCAGUUCUGAGUCACACUGCUAGGCUUCUGUAUCAGAUCAUGAGGUAAAAAUAACAACCCAAACCGAACAACUAAUCUGAUGACAACUCUCUCCUUUCCCACUAAACAAACUAUCUGCGCUGCUCUCUGCUCUGCUGACGUGGAGGCGAUUCAGCAGUAAAAAGUCAUGCUGUGUGCUACAAGCAGCUGCUGUUAGCUCUCCUCUGAAGUUUGAAGAAAGUCCUAGUCUUUGAUUUACAGAAGACUACAAAGGGUGUGUGUUCUCAAUAGACAUCAGGUAUAGCAUUUAAAGUGAGAUCUCCAAAUCCUUCUGUCUGCUAAUAUUCUGUAGACUGUUAAACAAGAAAAGCAACUUAUAACACUGACACAAUCCUAAACUGACUACUCUGACGAAGAGUCCUUAGUGCAACAAAAUUAGAGCAUAAUCUGAUUGAGUUUGUAAGAGCAGAGUAACAGACAGGGUCUGAAAAAGAAGAAAACUCAACCCGAGCAAUUUCCUUCAAGGGUGUCAGGCUAAGAGUCUCGCUUUUAUGUCUUAAUUGCCUUUGGCCUUUCCAGCUCCAGGAUGAAAAAAGUACCAGUUCUCCCCUUGUGUAUCUGCUGACAUGUGUAUCAUGUGGCCAGCACCAGUAAAAUAUCAGUGUAAUGUUCUAUAUUUCUACAGUCAGUGAAAAGAUAUCAUGAAAUAAUUAUGAUUUUCACAGCACACAUUUCUUGAAUCUUCCAGCUCUGCUGCUGCUCAUGUCCUCUUUGUGCCCUUUUAGAGCCGGGCAGACGCUGCUGUUUUCUGUGGAUUCAGAUAUUCCGUUGUUUCUCUGAACCGUAGAGACUUGGGAAUUCAAGUUAAUUUGAUGUUACUCUCUGGUGAAAAUAGGCAAGCUGGCGUGAUGUAAUUCCCGCAAAAGCACAGCAUCACUUAGUGUGCUAUUGUUAAUGCAUUUCAGGUGCUGUAAUGAGUCACUAAGAGAAACUGUGAUGUGGAGAGGAUGAGGAAGGGUACUGGAAGCCUGUGAGAAGUCCCAAGUUCAGGUAUGACAGGGGAUCAUGUAUAGGCACAGCUGAACUGCAUACUGGACUGUGUUGGCACAGAUUUGAUUAUUACACAACCUGUCUUAAUUUACGGAUAAUUCCUCAUUCAACUAAACUAGAGGAAAUUGCAGAGUCAUCAUGUUAAGUUGAGUCCCAUUGCCCGAAUUGUGGCUUAUGGGAAAUGGGUGGCGGUUCAACACGUACCAGAACUACAUACCAACAUUUUCAAAUAUGUAACAAUCAAUGAAAACCUAGCAUAUGUUGAAAACAAGGCAGUGUGAGGUAUUUUAUAUUUGAAACAACUGAUAUAGAUGCUUAGGAGAUAAGAUAAGCCACUACGAGAAACCAACUUAUUUCUAUUUCUGUUAUAUCACCGGAAGUUUCUCCCAUAAUAAUAAUAGAAGCGCCCUCACAAAUUAGGUGGAUACAAAAAGGGGUACACAUCCAGCCACACCGUCAAGAGGUUGAUUAAUAAAAGGUUAUGUAUGCCGUCAGUUGCUCUGAAUGAGGUGGCCAACUGCCCGUACAAGCAAACAGCUAGGCUCCACAGCAAGCGCUAACUGCUAGCCAGAGAGCAGCAGGCAGAGACGAAGAUAGACCACCAUACAAAGCUUAUGAAACACCACAAAUUAGCAGACAACAGCAGGCUGAAACCGGGAGACAAAGCAGCGGCGUCCUUUGUCAGCUGAUGUUGACGUCAGACACAGCGAAGGUAAUUACUGUCAUUUAGCAGAUUUCACCCUCAACCGCAGCAAACACCCGUGCACACAAGGAGGGGAGGAUAAAGAGAGAGACCCAGGCAGCUACCCGCAUCUCACCACCAUAAACGGGAGCUAAAUACGCACACGCCAAGGGCACGCCAGUCGCUCUGUUACAGCUUUACACCUGACCCGGAAGUGAUUCAGAUGGGAGCGCAAAAGGACUGGGGGAGAGUUGCGGCCUCAAUACUUGGCCUUCUGUGCUGCUACAUUUCUCCUCAAUGAAAAAAUGCAAGUGGAGGGUGACGCAUGGAAGCAGUUUAAGGGAACUGAGAUGUGACCAGUCUUGAAGGCCACCAUCCCUUCACUGACGCAAGAGGUGAGCAGAGGAGUGUUUCAGUCUAGAAUAUGACCAUUGGGUUUCGCCACCUUCAGCACACCUUUAAGGUUUUACUGCAAAGCUCCGAUAUGAUUGCACUCAGCUUAAUCACAUCAACUCCCUAAAUAAUUCCAGUUCUCCCUCCUCCGCUGUUGCAGAGAAACUUUCCAGGAGAGAAAAAUUAAGCUGCAAACGAUUCUGCUGCAGAAAGUUGUAGUGCAGGUUUCCAAGCCAGAUGGAUAGUUAAUUAAACUGACAAAAGUGGUUUAUCUUUAAGAACAGAUUCUGCAUGAACAAGGAAUACACAGGCAAAUUAUGAGAUUUAGGUGUUGUGAAUAUUCUGGUUUCUGUUAUCUGGGUAGUGUCAUCCACCGGGAUUUUAACAGGCUUCGGCUGCAUGAAGGAAAACAGUCCAACUGAAAGGUGAAAGGGUCAGAGUGCAAAUGCAGAAACCCUUCCAAAAGACGUCAUAAUUUCCUAAGCAGCCACUAUGUGGUUGCUAUGUGGGUUGCUAAGGACGCUAUGGCAUAGUUUCUGUAGACUUAGGCCAGAGGACUCUACUGCAACUAUAGAUUAUAUACAGCCUAAUAUCACUGAGCAAGUUAUGAAAAAUGAUUAAAAGCGUACAUGUUUGUAAAGGUUGAAAAUGUGAACACACAAACUUACCGUAUCUAUCGACUAAACUACUGUCUCCAACUGUGUGUCUGACACGUGUCCUUUCCUCCUGACAGGUGUUGAGUACACAACCCUCUAACAGACAUUUCCGAGCAUCUCUGGACUCCUAACUGCUGCAGGGCGGUGUAAAUCUCAGCAUGGGUUUGAAAACCGUCCUACUAACUCUGAGUAUUCUUCCAGUCCAGCCAUAAUACUAGCUGCUUUUACUUUUUCAGCAAUCUGGAGCUUCACUUCUGGGUUACAAAACCUGUGCCAGUCAGAGAUGGUACAAUUGGAUAAACUUAGUCGUUAUCUAAUUGUUCCAUUUUGAAUCUGAACACAAAAUGGAGAAUCUGGAACACGAGUUUUCAUCCCUUUUUACAAUUAUGUUUGGGAAACAAGUUUCAGAAAUAAUAUUUUUGGUUUAUUUUGAUAAAGAAGUGAACUAAUAUCACACAGAUUCAUCUCAAACAAGUCUCUGUCAUGUCGUUUUCUUGCUGUUCAAUCU